UCGAACCAUACCACAUGUAUCGGCUAAACAAACGAUUGUGUAAAAAGUGCCAAAAAUGAUAUUAGUUAAUAAUUUUUUGGUAUAAAUACAUUCAUACCGACGAAAGUUAGAAGAUACCUAUUACACCUGAUAGAUAUUUAAAAAAUUCCAUUCCAACUCUAAAAUACAUACAAUUUUAAUAUGUGUUACACAAAAAUAUAUCAAACAAAAGUUAAAGAGGUUUGCCGACAAUUCUAGUCAUUCAAUUUGUAGAGGGGAAUUUCCUAACACAUCCUUGGGGAAAAAGAAAAAAUUAUGAGAAAUAAAAUAGAAGAAAUUUCACUUUCUUGACUCGUCACACACCAUCGAGUGAUUGGGAUCAUGAAAUAACAAGGCGCCUUUACAUAGCUAUCAAUGGAUUGUUACAAAUUCUUUAUUUAUGAUACAGAUCCUUCGAGAAGCGUCUUUGUGUGUGAAACCGAAAUACAGGAUUUCAAAAAUUGUUUGUGUUUCUUUGGGUUUUUGCUUUUCAUUGAUAAGGAAUUGUUUAAAUUUCUCUUGUGAAAAUCCCCGACCACAGUUGUCAUUUAUCUAUACUAAAGGCAAAGGCAAUGA